UACGUAGGGGGCUAGCGUUGUCCGGAAUUAUUGGGCGUAAAGGGCGCGUAGGUGGUGCGGUAAGUCACCUGUGAAAUCUCCUGGCUCAACUGGGAGCUUGCAGGCGAAACUGCCGUGCUGGAGUGUGGGAGAGGUGCGUGGAAUUCCUGGUGUAGCGGUGAAAUGCGUAGAUAUCAGGAGGAACACCUGUGGCGAAAGCGGCGCACUGGACCACAACUGACGCUGAGGCGCGAAAGCUAGGGGAGCAAACAGG
rnacentral:rRNA from 1 species